AUUGAACGCUGGCGGCAUGCCUAACACAUGCAAGUCGAACGGCAGCAUGAUAAGAGCUUGCUCUUAUUGAUGGCGAGUGGCGGACGGGUGAGUAAUAUGUAGGAAUCUACCUAGAGGUGCGGGAUAACGUAGGGAAACUUAAGCUAAUACCACAUAAGCCCCAAGGGGGAAAGCAGGGAAUCCCUUGUGACCUUGCGCUAAUAGAUGCGCCUAAGUCGGAUUAGCUAGUUGGUGGGGUAAAGGCCUACCAAGGCGACGAUCUGUAGCGGGUCUGAGAGGAUGAUCCGCCACACUGGGACUGAGACACGGCCCAGACUCCUACGGGAGGCAGCAGUGGGGAAUAUUGGACAAUGGGGGGAACCCUGAUCCAGCCAUGCCGCGUGUGUGAAGAAGGCCUUAUGGAUGUAAAGCACUUUAAGCGAGGAGGAGGCUCUUUUGGUUAAUGCUCAAGAUGAGUGGACGUUACUCGCAGAAUAAGCACCGGCUAACUCUGUGCCAGCCGCCGCCGUAA
rnacentral:rRNA from 1 species